AGGUGGUGCAUGGUUGUCGUCAGCUCGUGUCGUGAGAUGUUGGGUUAAGUCCCGCAACGAGCGCAACCCCUAUUGCUAGUUACCAUCAUUAAGUUGGGGACUCUAGCGAGACUGCCAGUGAUAAACUGGAGGAAGGUGGGGAUGACGUCAAAUCAUCAUGCCCCUUAUGACCUGGGCUACAAACGUGAUACAAUGGCUGGAACAAAGGGAUGCGAAGCAGUGAUGUGGAGCGAAACCCAUAAAAACAGUCUCAGUUCGGAUUGAAGUCUGCAACUCGACUUCAUGAAGUCGGAAUCGCUAGUAAUCGCGGAUCAGAACGCCGCGGUGAAUACGUUCCCGGGCCUU
rnacentral:rRNA from 1 species